GUGCAGCAGGCGCGAAAACUUUACAAUGUGCGAAAGCACGAUAAGGGAACUCUGAGUGCCUCCUAAGGAGGCUGUUCAGGUGUCUAAAAAGCACCUGGAGUAAGGGCUGGGUAGGACCGGUGCCAGCCGCCGCGGUAACACCGGCAGCCCAGGUGGUAGCCACUUUUAUUGGGUCUAAAGCGUCCGUAGCCGGUUGAGUAAGUUCCUUGGGAAAUUUGGCUGCUCAACAGUCAAGCUUCCAGGGAAUACUGCUCGACUUGGGACUGGGAGAGGUCAGAGGUACUCCAGGGGUAGGGGUGAAAUCCAUUAAUCCCUGGGGGACCACCGGUAGCGAAGGCGUCUGACCAGACCAGGUCCAACGGUGAGGGACGAAGGCUAGGGUCGCGAGCCGGGAUUAGAUACCCCGUA
rnacentral:rRNA from 1 species